GGUUAAGUGACUAAGCGUACACGGUGGAUGCCUUGGCAGUCAGAGGCGAUGAAAGACGUAGUAACUUGCGAUAAGCCCAGAUUAGGUAGUAACAACCAUUUGAGUCUGGGA
rnacentral:rRNA from 1 species